GAUGAACGCUAGCGGCGUGCCUAAUACAUGCAAGUCGAGCGAAUGGAUUAAGAGCUUGCUCUUAUGAAGUUAGCGGCGGACGGGUGAGUAACACGUGGGUAACCUGCCCAUAAGACUGGGAUAACUCCGGGAAACCGGGGCUAAUACCGGAUAACAUUUUGAACCGCAUGGUUCGAAAUUGAAAGGCGGCUUCGGCUGUCACUUAUGGAUGGACCCGCGUCGCAUUAGCUAGUUGGUGAGGUAACGGCUCACCAAGGCAACGAUGCGUAGCCGACCUGAGAGGGUGAUCGGCCAACCUGAGACUGAGACACGGCCCAGAGUCCUACGGGAGGCAGCAGUAGGGAAUCUUCCGCAAUGGACGAAAGUCUGACGGAGCAACGCCGGGUGAGUGAUGAAGGCUUUCGGGUCGUAAAACUCUGUUGUUAGGGAAGAACAAGUGCUAGUUGAAUAAGCUGACACCUUGACGGUACCUAACCAGAAAGCCACGGCUAACUACGUGCCAGCCGCCGCCGUAA
rnacentral:rRNA from 1 species